rnacentral:lncRNA from 1 species
AUGGUGGUAACACCCAGGGGGGAAAGUGUCUCUGGGACUCUCUCUAACACUUUUCAUUUGGGAAAAGCCUGGAAAUCUGGAUUCAGAGCUACCCAACUGCACUCAGCACGUUCAGCUCCAGCCUGCAAAGGACUUCACAAUGUGAGGAAGGGAUUUCAGGGACAUAUCCUACAUCAUUGUUGCCACGAGCCCAACAAUAAUUGGCAUAAGCUGGUACAAGAGGGGCUUGCAGGACAAAGCUGCAGGGUCUGCAAUGACACCUGCUCCCACAUCCAGCCCUGGGAGAAGACACAUCCUUUCUGA